rnacentral:lncRNA from 1 species
AGUAAGUAGGAAUGUGGACAUAAUGAUGAAAUAAGACAAUAUUCCAUGAUACAUGUACGAGGCAGGAGACAAAUCAAGGCAAACAAGCUUGCCCUGUCAAUAAUUCGAGUAUAGAAAACUGAUGCAACAAACAUUAAUUAACAACAAUAGUACUGUAGGAAGAACACAAGGAUUAAAACAAGAACAAUUGCGAAAUAAAUGCGUAUAAAAGCACUAGAUGAAUCAUAAAGCGCAUGAUGGUAUAUAUCUGAGAAGUGAACCUAAUUAUUUUGAAUCCUAGGAGGGACAUUGGUAGCCAGGAGGAACAGUUUUCUGACACGCACUGAGGAUCGCGCUGAGCGUGACAGGAACAUUCAAGUUGAUUCCAAGCACAUUGGCCUUAAUGGCAGUGCAAAGGCAAAGUGCAGCUUCCAAAUCCGCCAAGUCUUUGAUCAAAGCGCAACAGUCACUCGUAGGUGGAGUUCCAACAAUAAUGUUCACAAGUCCUAAGACCUUGGCACAAACACCUAGCUUUAGGGUGUCUUUAGGACAGGAAGCAGGUGGAGGAGGAGUAGGAGUAGGAGGAGUAGGAGGACAGGCAUUGGGCGAGGUUGGUGGACUUACCUUUGGGCUGGGCUUUGGGCUGGGCGGUGUGGGCGAGGGUGGUGGACUUACCUUUGGGGUGGGCGGCGGGCUUACCUUUGGACUGGGUGGUGGCUUUGGAGUAGGUGGUGUGGGUGCGGGCUUUGGAGGUGUGCAGUCCUGACUGAAUGAAGAGUAAGACAUGAGAGAAAGCAGGAAAAUGGUGAGGAGUUUGUGGGAAGCCAUAGAGAAAGAAAGUAAAAAAGUGCUGAUAGUGUUGAAUGGGAAGGGGAAGAGACGUUAAGGUAUUUAAAGAGAAAACGGUAAGAAAAUUAAUAGAGCUAUCUAAAUUUUUUACAUUUUUUGACAGUAUUUUUAAUUAUUUUUACUCUCUUUUUUCUUAAAAAAUAUAAAAUUUUAAAAUAUAUUAUAAUAUCAUUGCUGGAGUGAAAAAUGUGAUGGUUGAAAGUAAGCGAGGGAAAGAAUGUGAUAAUGGUUACAGUUGGAUGUUUUUGUAAGCUUGUGAACGAGU